ACGGGGUGCAGCAGGCGCGAAAAUUCCGCAAUGCGCGAAAGCGUGACGGGGGGAGUCCGAGUGCCAUCCUAACGGAUGGCUUUUCGUGAGACUAAAUAUCUCACGGAAUAAGUGGUGGGUAAAUCUCGUGCCAGCCGCCGCGGUAAUACGAGUAGCACAAGUGGUACCCACGAAUAUUGAGCUUAAAGCGUCCGUAGCCGGCCAAGUCAGUUUCCUGUGAAAUCUACCAGCUUAACUGGUAGGCGUGCAGGGAAUACUACUUGGCUAGGGAACGGGGGAGGUCAGGAGUACUCUAGGGGGAGCGGUAAAAUGCUGUAAUCCUUGGAGGACUAACGAUGGCGAAGGCACCUGACUAAAACGUGUCCGACGGUGAGGGACGAAGGCUAGGGGAGCGAACGGGAUUAGAUACCCCGGUAGUCCUAGCAGUAAAUGAUGCAGAUUUGGCGUCGCAUUCACCACGAGUGGAUGCGGUGCCGUAGGGAAACCGUUUAAUCUGCCGCUUGGGGAGUACGGUCGCAAGACUGAAACUUAA
rnacentral:rRNA from 1 species